rnacentral:rRNA from 1 species
CCAGCAGCCGCGGUAAUUCCAGCUCCGCAAGUGUAUUCCUAUACUGUUGCGUUUAAAUAGCUCGUAGUUGCAUCUGCGUGUUUAGCGCGCGGUGCCAUUCACUUUGGCUACUGUGCCGCGACACUUCGGGCUGGUCGACGAUGCUUUUGUAAGCAUAGUUGCUAGCAAGUUUACUUUGAACAAAUCAGAGUGCUCAGAACGGGCGUUUCGCUCGGAUGUUCUUGCAUGGAAUAAUGGAAUAGGACCGCGCGUUCUAUUUUGUUGGUUUUCGGGACGCGGGUAAUGAUUAAGAGGGACAGACGGGGGCAUUUGUACUGCGACGUGAGAGGUGAAAUUCUUGGAUCGUCGCAAGACAGACUACUG